rnacentral:lncRNA from 1 species
GUUCAUUACCUGACCAGUGCACAAGAAUAGUUCACCAUGGAGCAGGAACAGAGAAGACUCUGAGAUAAAGGCUGGGAAAUACUUUUUGAAAGUCACUUUCUCCACUAGAAGAUAUAUCAGGUAAGUCCUCAUUAAAGUCUUGUCUAAAUGAAUUAGAAAAUCUAGAUUUGAUCCUUGAUAUUUUCUUUAA